rnacentral:rRNA from 1 species
UUCCCCUAGUAACUGCGAGUGAAGCGGGAAAAGCUCAAAUUUAAAAUCUGGCGGUUUUGGCCGUCCGAGUUGUAGUCUGGAGAAGUGCUUUCCGCGCCGGACCGUGUACAAGUCUCCUGGAACGGAGCGUCAUAGAGGGUGAGAAUCCCGUCUUUGACACGGACUACCGGUGCUUUGUGAUGCGCUCUCAAAGAGUCGAGUUGUUUGGGAAUGCAGCUCAAAAUGGGUGGUGAAUUCCAUCUAAAGCUAAAUAUUGGCGAGAGACCGAUAGCGAACAAGUACCGUGAGGGAAAGAUGAAAAGCACUUUGGAAAGAGAGUUAAACAGUACGUGAAAUUGCUGAAAGGGAAACGCUUGAAGUCAGUCGCGUCGUCCGGAACUCAGCCUUGCCUUGGCUUGGUGCACUUUCCGGUUGACGGGCCAGCAUCGAUUUUGACCGGUGGAUAAAGGUUUGAGGAAUGUGGCACCCUCGGGUGUGUUAUAGCCUCGAAUUGUAUACAUCGAUUGGGAUCGAGGAACUCAGCUUCGGCUUAGGAUGCUGGCGUAAUGGCUUUAAACGACCCGUCUUGAAACACGGACCAAGGAGUCUAACAUGCCUGCGAGUGUUUGGGUGGUAAACCCAGGCGCGUAAUGAAAGUGAAAGUCGAGACCUCUGUCGUGGAGGGCAUCGACGCCCGGACCUGACCUUCUGUGACGGCUCCGCGGUAGAGCAUGUAUGUUGGGACCCGAAAGAUGGUGAACUAUGCCUGAAUAGGGUGAAGCCAGAGGAAACUCUGGUGGAGGCUCGUAGCGAUUCUGACGUGCAAAUCGAUCGUCAAAUUUGGG